AGGAACCUGCCUUGGAGAGGGGAAUAACAACUCCGAAAGGAGUGCUAAUACCGCAUGAUGCAGUUGGGUCGCAUGGCUCUGACUGCCAAAGAUUUAUCGCUCUGAGAUGGCCUCGCGUCUGAUUAGCUAGUAGGCGGGGUAACGGCCCACCUAGGCGACGAUCAGUAGCCGGACUGAGAGGUUGACGGCCACAUUGGGACUGAGACACGGCCCAG
rnacentral:rRNA from 1 species